AGAGUUUGAUCCUGGCUCAGGAGGAACGCUGGCGGCGUGCCUAAUACAUGCAAGUCGAGCGAACAGACGAGGAGCUUGCUCCUCUGACGUUAGCGGCGGACGGGUGAGUAACACGUGCUUAAUCUACCUCUUAGAUUGGAAUACCUAAUGGAAACAUUGGUUAAUGCCGGAUACGCAUGGAGUCGCAUGACUCCGCUGUGAAAGGGGCCUUUAAAGCUCCACUAAGAGAUGAGGGUGCGGAACAUUAGCUAGUUGGUGAGGUAACGGCCCACCAAGGCUAUGAUGUUUAGCCGGGUCGAGAGACUGAACGGCCACAUUGGGACUGAGAUACGGCCCAAACUCCUACGGGAGGCAGCAGUAGGGAAUAUUCCACAAUGAGCGAAAGCUUGAUGGAGCGACACAGCGUGCACGAUGAAGGUCUUAUGGAUUGUAAAGUGCUGUUGCAAGGGAAGAAAAAGUAGUUGAGGAAAUGCUUCUACAUUGACGGUACCUUGUUAGAAAGCGAUGGCUAACUAUGUGCCAGCAGCCGCGGUAAUACAUAGGUCGCAAGCGUUAUCCGGAAUUAUUGGGCGUAAAGCGUUCGUAGGCUGUUUAUUAAGUCUGGAGUCAAAUCCCAGGGCUCAACCCUGGCUCGCUUUGGAUACUGGUAAACUAGAGUUGGAUAGAGGUAAGCGGAAUUCCAUGUGAAGCGGUGAAAUGCGUAGAUAUAUGGAAGAACACCAAAGGCGAAGGCAGCUUACUGGGUUUAUACUGACGCUGAGGAACGAAAGCGUGGGGAGCAAACAGGAUUAGAUACCCUGGUAGUCC
rnacentral:rRNA from 1 species